AUCUAGCCCUGCCCAGUAUAAUAGCUACAGAUGCUAGGAGGCACUUCUUUGGUGAGGAUCAAUGACUUGUCAAGUUUGGAGUCCACUGGACAGCGAUUUUUGUGUUAUCGACACGGGAACAAAAAUCUACCUAAAGGUUAAGAAGGAGAAUUUGAUUUCUGUCUAACUGAAUUUUCUUUAACAGUCAUCACACAUCCGCUAAGAUGAUGAGUUAUUGGUUGUCAAUCCUGUAUAUAUCGACCGUAAUCUUCCAGAAUCUGUCCUUCCUAUAUGUGUUAAAAGAGGAUAUGCUGUGAGCUAUAGAACAGAAUUAAUUAUUUUUCCUCUAGAAGAAGAAAAGAGAAGAUAAUUGCUAAAAUAACACUUCGAUCAAAGAUGUCUCUAAAUGCUGAGUACUGUGUAAGGCAAACUUCAAAGCUCCUUCAAAAGUAAUAAACUUAUCAAUGCUCUCACACAAGUUAAACUUUCUAACUUUUCAUUAAAAUACUAUUUGGAAAUUUUCAUUUUUAUAAUUAAUUUUCACCUGUUAAAAAGCAAAUGAAGAAUGGAUGUUACAAAAGAAUAUGUAAAUAUCUAGAAAUCUUGUUCAUUCCUGUAGAUGUUUUUGAAGAGAUUAUUUUCAUGUCUGUCCUUGAGGAUUGUUUUAACUCCUGUUGGUUGAUAAAGUUUUAAUGACCUUCAGGUUGGCUAAGUAAAAAUUCUGUAGAGCUCUAUUUUAGAGAAUACUAUAAGUAAUACCUCUCAAACAUUCCUUCCUGCUUACAGAUGUAGAUGUAGUUUUGAAGGAAAGAAAUGCUGAAACUCUCAUUACUUUGUGUGCAUGGCUGUGUAUGAAGAGAACAGAGGGGAUUUUGCAACUAAAUGCAUUUUGCUCGGCAUCCCAGUUAGUUUAGUGAUAACGUUACAUUUUAGAAUUCAAUGGAGAUGGCUUUCGUCAGUGAACAAAUAACACUAUGUGACUCACUUGUGUAAAACAAAUUCUGCAUUUUCAAAUUUAGAGGUUUUUAUUAGAGUUGGUUGAAUUAUUCAUUGCAAAUAAACUA